AGGUAUGUGGUUCAGUGGUAGAACACCUGUGUAGCACGUGCAAGACCCUGGGUUCCAUUCCCAGCAAAGCCA
rnacentral:tRNA from 1 species